GCAGGGGUUCAGAUAAAAAAUCGGCAGCUGGCAGCAGGAAGUGGCUGCCAUUGACAGCCGGAAGGCAGUAACUGACAGCCGGAAGGCAGUAACUGUCAGCCGGAUGGUAGGCGGGAAAUGCCAUUCGGUGGGAGCCAAUCAGUAUCGACCAACGUGGGCACAACCAAUCAGAUAUAACUGCACCCAAACGCUUCAGUAAUGGUUGCGAUUGAUCAAACGUUGCCAGAUGCUGUCCUGUUGGAAAUUCUUCUUUACGUGAUCCUGGAGGAGGGUGAUGCUACAUUACUAAGUCCGUCCUUGGUUUGUUCCAAAUUCAGAAGUCUGCUGUACUGUAUACAGACUCCUUUCGAAAGAGGGCACAAUCCAGCUGGCUUGACUGAGUAUCUUCUUUUACAUAUUUGAUUAGAGGUUUAAAAAGGUGGAACAAAAUGGAGAACAAGUCUAAGCCAUGUCAGG